rnacentral:rRNA from 1 species
UACAGAGGGUGCAAGCGUUAAUCGGAAUUACUGGGCGUAAAGCGCGUGUAGGCGGUUCGUAAAGUCGGAUGUGAAAUCCCCAGGCUUAACCUGGGAACUGCAUCCGAUACUGGAUGGCUUGAAUCCGGGAGAGGGAUGCGGAAUUCCAGGUGUAGCGGUGAAAUGCGUAGAUAUCUGGAGGAACACCGGUGGCGAAGGCGGCAUCCUGGACCGGCAUUGACGCUGAGGAGCGAAAGCCAGGGGAGCAAACGGG